GAUGAACGCUGGCGGCGUGCCUAAUACAUGCAAGUCGAGCGAACAGACGAGGAGCUUGCUCCUCUGACGUUAGCGGCGGACGGGUGAGUAACACGUGGAUAACCUACCUAUAAGACUGGGAUAACUUCGGGAAACCGGCGCUAAUACCGGAUAAUAUAUUGAACCGCAUGGUUCAAUAGUGAAAGACGGUUUUGCUGUCACUUAUAGAUGGAUCCGCGCCGCAUUAGCUAGUUGGUAAGGGAACGGCUUACCAAGGCGACGAUGCGUAGCCGACCUGAGAGGGUGAUCGGCCACACUGGAACUGAGACACGGUCCAGACGCCUACGGGAGGCAGCAGUAGGGAAUCUUCCGCAAUGGGCGAAAGCCUGACGGAGCAACGCAGCGUGAGUGAUGAAGGUCUUCGGAUCGUAAAACUCUGUUAUGAGGGAAGAACAAAUGUGUAAGUAACUAUGCACGUCUUGACGGUACCUAAUCAGAAAGCCACGGCUAACUACGUG
rnacentral:rRNA from 1 species